rnacentral:rRNA from 1 species
AUGGGAACGCGAAGAACCUUACCUAGACUUGACAUCUCCUGAAUAGUGUAGAGAUACAUGAAGCCCUUCGGGGCAGGAAGACAGGUGGUGCAUGGUUGUCGUCAGCUCGUGUCGUGAGAUGUUGGGUUAAGUCCCGCAACGAGCGCAACCCUUAUUACUAGUUGCUACCAUUAAGUUGAGCACUCUAGUGAGACUGCCCGGGUUAACCGGGAGGAAGGCGGGGAUGACGUCAAAUCAUCAUGCCCCUUAUGUCUAGGGCAACACACGUGCUACAAUGGUGAGUACAGAUAGAUGCGAUACCGCAAGGUGGAGCCAAACUCUAAAACUCAUCCCAGUUCGGAUUGUAGGCUGCAACUCGCCUACAUGAAGUUGGAGUUGCUAGUAAUCGCGAAUCAGAAUGUCGCGGUGAAUACGUUCCCGGGUCUUGUACACACC